ACCGGCUGCGGCGGGGGCAGGAGCGGCACUGCAGAGGGGCCCCGUGCACCGUAGGCGGUCCUCACGGAGGGUCUCUGACUUCCCGGGACCCGCAGAGUCCCCAUGCGAAGGGGGAUGCCAGGAGGGAGGCGAGGGGAUGCCGAGAUGCCCGUGGAGGGUCCCCGGUCCCCAGGUACUGUCCCAUCAGAGAGUCCCCAUGUGGGGUCUCUGCCCCCGUGGAGAGCGGGGUCCCCACACACCGUGUCCAGUCCUCACAGAGGGUCUUUGCCUUCCUGGGACCCGGAGAGAGUCCCCAUGUGAAGGGGGAUGCGAUGUGAUGGAGAGGGGAUACAAGGAGAGGCAAGGAGAGAGGCAAGGAGGUACGAAGAUCCCCAUACGGGGUUCCUGGUCACCAGGGGUGGUCCCAGCAGUGUCCCCAUGCAGGGUCCCCAUGCACUGUACCAAAUCCUCACGGAGGGUCUCUGCCUUCCCAGCACCUGCAGAGAGUUCCCAUGCAGCAUCCCUGGUUCCCAUGGAGGGUCCUUGCAGAGGGUCCCAGUGCAGGGUCUCCCCAUGCACAGUACCCAGUCCUCAUGGAGGGUCUCUACAUUCUCAGGACCCAUAGAAACCCCCCAUGCAGGGUCCAUGCUCCCAAGGAGGGUCCCUCCAGAGCAUCCCCCCAUCCACCACUGCCCCAGGCAGAGCUGUGAGCCCCACCGUGCUGGGCUGCAGGUGCCCCACUGCGGCAGGAGCUCUGCCACACAUGGCACCCGGUGAGCAGGGGACUGUGCAGGGCAGGGAGCACAGUUACCAUUCAUGCCCUCUUUUCUUUUAGUGCUUUUCUCCUCUAAAUGCCCAGCUUAUGCGAUCACACUGGAGAGAGUUUGAUAUGCCACGUGGACGGACUGUGGGCCCCCUCCCCAGCUCACCCCUAGCCUAAGACCCUCAUCCUCCAGCAGAUCCCACUUUGGGUGUCCUGUGCCCCAUUCAGCCUUGCAGAUCAGGGACGAUCCUUGGCAGAGAAGUGGACUUGGCCACUCGCCUCCUUCCCGUACCUCAGCAGGGACACAGAGCCUGGCUCUGGCCAAAAGUCCCCAGGGAAGCCAGCAUCAAAGCUCAACGGUCAUCAGGAGAAAAUGUAACAUGACUUGUUCCUCCAGCUGUUCCUGCUCAGGUGGGUUUGGGAGGGUUAUUUUUUUUUAAUAUUGAAAGACUUUCUACACAGAGCUGGAAGACUCUUUACCAGACCCCCCCCUUGGAGUCUGCCGCUCCGUGAAAAGAAGGAGCCUGUGCCUCCCUUGAGGUCUGUCCGAACACCCUUGGG